GAUGACUUGUGGCUGGGGGUGAAAGGCCAAUCAAACCGGGAGAUAGCUGGUUCUCCCCGAAAGCUAUUUAGGUAGCUGCCUCGUGAACUCAUCUUCGGGGGUAGAGCACUGUUUCGGCUAGGGGGUCAUCCCGACUUACCAACCGAUGCAAACUACGAAUACCGAAGAAUGUUAUCACGGGAGACACACGGCGGGUGCUAACGUCCGUCGUGAAGAGGGAAACAACCCAGACCGCCAGCUA
rnacentral:rRNA from 1 species